CUGCUGCCUUCCGUAGGAGUUUGGGCCGUGUCUCAGUCCCAAUGUGGCCGUUCACCCUCUCAGGCCGGCUACUGAUCGUCGCUUUGGUAGGCCGUUACCCUGCCAACUGGCUAAUCAGACGCGGGUCCAUCUCACACCGAUAAAUCUUUUCCGUCAGUAUCAUGCGAUACCAGCGGGUUAUGCGGUAUUAGCGGUCGUUUCCAACUGUUAUCCCCCUGUGUGAGGCAGGUUACCCACGCGUUACUCACCCGUCCGCCA
rnacentral:rRNA from 1 species